rnacentral:rRNA from 1 species
UGGGGAAUCUUGCACAAUGGGCGAAAGCCUGAUGCAGCGACGCCGCGUGGGGGAUGAAGCAUCUCGGUGUGUAAACCCCUUCGACCCGGCAAGAAUGCCUCGCAAGAGGACUGACGGUACGGGUAUAAGAAGCCCCGGCUAACUACGUGCCAGCAGCCGCGGUAAGACGUAGGGGGCCAGCGUUGUUCGGAAUUACUGGGUGUAAAGGGUUCGUAGGCGGUGCGGCAAGUUGGGAGUGAAAUCUCUGGGCUCAACCCAGAGGCUGCUUCCAAAACUGCUGUGCUUGAGUGUGGGAGAGGCGCGUGGAAUUGCAGGUGUAGCGGUGAAAAUGCGUAGAUAUCUGCAGGAACACCCGUGGCGAAAAGCGGCGCGCUGGACCACUACUGACGCUGAGGAACGAAAGCUAGGGGAGCAAAACA